rnacentral:misc_RNA from 1 species
AAGUCGUAACAAGGUUUCCGUAGGUGAACCUGCGGAAGGAUCAUUAACACUUUUAUCCUUUUAUCCAAACCCCAAUGUGAACUUGUCUUCUACCCCCUUCCCCAAUAGUCAAUUCUUCAUUGACUGACUUGACUGUUGGUAAAGGGCCCUCAAGUUUUUUCUUCUCUUUUCUCUUUUUCCUUUCCGAAGGUUAACAAGGGAUUAGUUGAAGGAGAAACGGUAUUCCUUUUCACUUCUUUAACUCCUACAAUCAACCUUAACUGUUGAACUAAAUCCAAUCGCUUCUGACUUUUUCCUUUUAACAGAGGAGAGAGAAGGCAAGUGAGUGAUCUUACGUAAUGUUUGAACAACUCUUAGCAAUGGAUAUCUUGGUUCUC